UUCCAUGGAUAUCCAUCAAGCUUUUAUUAUUAUUUUUUUAGGUGAAAAUGAACAGAACUUACCUGAAUUAUAGGUAAAUUUGAGUAUGUUAUUUAAUCUUUUAAGAUUUUAAUUUUGUUAUUCUAUUUUUUAAUUUAUUUGAUUUGAGUGAGUUGACUAAUUUUAAAAUUAAAGCUAAUUAAAUUCGUUAUUAUAUUUAUAAUUAUGAGAACUGCAUAAAGUAUAGUGACUAAAUAUGUAAAGAUAAAAAAUAUAAUCACAUUUUGAAGCUAAAGUCCCGUUAACUAACUCAAAGUAAAUAAAUUGAAAAAUUUGAUAACUGACUCAAAAUGGUCUAUAAUUUAAGUAAGUUUUAUAAGUUUUUAGGUCAUUU
rnacentral:lncRNA from 1 species